GGGUCAACUCUCGAACAAAGUUUGGUUAUACCUACGGGGGCUAGACCUGUGGUGUCAUCAUCCAUACGGUUUUACCUUCUGGUAGUUGUAGCAAUAUUAUUAUCGUUAGUAGCUCACGCCUGACAUAAUAUUUUGAUAAAUCUAAUACAUUUUUAGAUUUAAAUAUGACUUUAAUAACUGAAUAAAUACUUUUCUUCUACAAAAAUAUAGAGAGACACUCUCGUUGAAUAUUGUUUUAGUAACGCAUGGGUAAGGUUUUCUAAACGAAGUGUGGCAACCCCAAUUACUUAAUAAAAAAUAAAAAUGUUUUAAAAUGAAAAUGGCGUCAUUUCACCAAAUAUUUUAAAAAACAAAUUCACGAAUAAUAAAAUAAAUGUUUGCCACGGCCUGUUAAUAUUUAUGAAGACCUCUUCAUGGAUUGGAUUUAAGCAACCUGCUGUGUAAUAUCCUCGCCAUCCUUGAUGUUGAGAAGAUCUAUAAGUCUUUUACGUUUCAUCUGAGUGUUGUGGUUUUUCAUUAUGUUAAAAAUAAGACUUUGUUAGUUCAAGUGUCUCUAUAACUAUGAAGAAGAACAAAAGAAAAUGCUUUGAGUGUGGUUUUUCGCCUGCCGAUGAUCCAGAGAAGACCCUACAGAGAUUACCGAAACUUGAUUCUACAAAUUUAGUCUCCGCAAUCCUGCUUCUUCACAUGAAUUUUACCCGCAUGACGACGGUUUUUAAUAUAAAAAAUAUUUACACAAUGUCUCAAAAAGCAAUCAAAGCUUUGAAAAAUAAACAAUGUUCGCAGAAGUUCAGUACCAACAAACUCACAAAAAAUGAGCCCAAAUUUAGCAUUACUUGCAAGCCAGACUAAGAAAUUUCAAGAAGAUAAUUUAAAAGAAGACAAUAGAAUAAAAUAAUAUUAACACACAAUGCUUAGCAAAUAUAGCAUUAACAGAUGGAAACCAGGCAAUAGGUGUAGCAAAAUAGAAGAUGAAGGUCUAGCUGUGCCAGUCAGUGCUGAGCCACACAGUUGCUGCUGGCAUGUUUGCAAAAUAGCACAAGGUGUAGCAAAAUAGAAGAUGAAGGUCUAGCUGUGCCAGUCAGUGCUGAGCCACACAGUUGCUGCUGGCAUGUUUGCAAAAUAGCACAAGGUGUAGCAAAAUAAAAGAUGAAGGUCUAGCUGUGCCAGUCAGUGCUGAGCCACACAGUUGCUGCUGGCAUGUUUGCAAAAUAGCACAAGGUGUAGCAAAAUAGAAGAUGAAGGUCUAGCUGUGGCAGUCAGUGCUGAGCCACACAGUUGCUGCUGGCAUGUUUGCAAUAUAGCACAAGGUGCUGUAAAAUGAAGAUAUAUUGUUUAAUAUCAUGAGAUAGAAAUAAAAGAUGAAGAUCUAGCUGUACCCGUCCCGAGCCACACUACUGCAGCCACGUUGCUGCUGGCAUUUUUGCAAAAUAGCACAAGGUCACAACAAUUGAUGUAACAAAUAUAAUCAAUGGACCAGGCACCUGCACCAUGAUUCUUUGGAAUACUAAAAUUCGUCUCUUUAUGUUUAUACUUCUCAUAAUGAAAAAUGUCACAUUUUUAUGAAAGAAAUAAUGGAAUCAAAUAAUAAAUAAAACAAGCAUAUGCUGGAAGUCCUCAGAAACAGCUCCGACUUUGAUGAUUUUUUUAAAGUCAUGUUUUUUAUGUUAUUUAAAAUCAGAAAUGUUUUGAUGGACGAAAUUAUUUAAAUUGUUAAAAAAUAUCUAUGCUAUUUAUACAUAUUUUUUUUUAAAUACAACCGACUUCAAAAAUACAAACUUAUGCAGAAAACUAACAAACGAAACAAAAUAUUAUAAUAUUUUCUAUCUAUUGAUCACUUUGAAGGCGGUGCCAAUGGUCCAAUUAAUGGGCCGACAAUUAGUUAUCUAUUGUUUUCCUAGCUAUAGGGUUCGAAUUGCUUUUUCAUAUCUUUAAAAGACUAUCUUCGGAAUGAACCCUUUAUAAUAAAAAAAGUAUUAUCAAAAUCGGACCACUCAAUAAAAAGUUAUACUUGGUUGUAUACUAAAAUUAAUGGUUAAACAAUCAAUCAUCCCCUGUUUUUGUAAUGUAAAACCAAGCAUAACUGUUAACAUGAGUAGUCCGAUUUUGAUAAUUCUUUUGAUUGAUCAUUCUUGAUUGUUUUAGUUUAAAACCAAGCAUGUCUUCGAAUUCCGAUUUGAAUAACUUUGUUUUAAAUAGAAAGGGUAUAUUCCGACAAUGGUCCCAAAUCAUUAUAAAUUUAAAAAAAACAAGAGAUGACUGGUUAUUUUCCCAUUAAUUGUAUUGUAAAAAUAUGCGUAACUUAUUACGAAGUGGUCCGAUUUCGUAAAUUCUUUAUAGAUUGUAAAGGUAUUUUGAUUGUAAAGCUCCCAUAUAAAUUUUUAAAAACAAUUCCAAUCCUAAAUGUGCGAUUGAUUGUUUUCUCAUUCAUUUUAAUGUAAAACCAAGCCUAACUUUUUAUUGGGUGGUUCGAUUUUGAUUAUUCUUUAUUUUAAUAGAAAGGGUAUAUUCCUAAGUCUCAUAAAAUGUUGGAAAACAAUUUCAAACCUAAUAGUAGGAAAAUAGAAGAUGAUUAAUUGUUUUCCCAUUUAUUGUAAUGUUAAACUAUGCGUAACUUUUUACUGAGUGGACCGAUUUUGAAAAUUCUUUACUUUUUGUAAAGGGUUUAUUUCGAAGUAGGUCCCAUAUAAAUUUCGGAAAACAAUUCGAAUCCUUAAGGUGGAAAAAGACGGUACGAUUGAUUGCCUACCCAUUAAUUGUACAAUUGGCACCGGCUUCAGUAAUCAGUAGAUAGAAAAUAUUAUAAUGUUUUCUUCAGCUUAUUAGUUUACUGCAUAACUUUGUGUUUUUGGUAGUGUUUGUUUUUUAAUUAUUUAUUAUAUAAAUAGCAUAACUAUUGUUAAAUAGUAUAAAUCGUUCCAUCCUCACUCCAAAAGGUUUCUGAUUUCAAAUGAUAUGAAGAAACAAACUGAACAAAAAUAAUCAUCAAAAUCAGAGCUGUUUCUGAGGAGGUAGAGGGUAAAUGCUCUAUUGAUUCGCCUAAAAGUAAUAUUAUGUUAUUGCAUUAGGUUGUAAAGUUUGGCUAA